rnacentral:rRNA from 1 species
GAUUAUAAAAUGUAUUAUAAAUUUUGUUACACGAAUUAAAGGGAGCUAAUUAUAUAUUGUUAAUAGACGAGUACGUGCGUUGUAUAGCAAGGAAGAAAAUAUAUUAUUAGAGGUGAUAGGCCUGCCAAACUUUAGGAUAACUUGUUGUAUAGGAUAAAUAUUUAGUAUUAUGACAUACUUACAAAGUUAAGCUUGUUAGUUAAUAUUAAAGGUGAUAUAUAAUAAGAAAUAUAUAGUGUAAUUGCUAAUAAUUUUUAAUACGAAGAUAACAUUCAUGUUGUUUAUAGAUCAUACUAUGCCUACCAAAACUUUUCAGGGUGUUGAUAAUGUAAUUAUUAGUAAAUAUUUUAAGUAUGUCUAAGGAACUCGGCAACAUGUUGUUCAACUGUUUAUCAAAAACAUCGCUAUGUGAAAUAAUAUGUAGUUUUUUCUGCUCAAUGAUAUGUUAAAUAGCCGCAGUACUCUGACUGUGCAAAGGUAGCAUAAUCAGUUGACUCUUAAUUGGGGCCUGGGAUGAAUGAAAUAAUGGGCGGCAGCUUUCUCAGAUAUAUUUCUAUAAACUUGGUUAGUAGGUGCAAAUACCUCUAUGUAGAUAAAAGACGAGAAGACCCUAGAAGCUUAAAUAUGAUUUUGUUGGGGCGACAGAAUUACAUUAAACUAAUUUUUAUUACUGGAUAUAAUGGGGGCAGAAUAAACUACUCUAGGGAUAACACCAUAAUUUUAACAGUUUGUGACCUCGAUGUUGGACUACGGUCUCCAUACCUUAGGAGGGUGUGGUGACACCUCUGUUCGAGCUAAUACACCUACAUGAUCUGAGUUCAGACCGG